AUUGAACGCUGGCGGCAGGCCUAACACAUGCAAGUCGAGCGGCAGCGGGAAAGUAGCUUGCUACUUUUGCCGGCGAGCGGCGGACGGGUGAGUAAUGCCUGGGAAAUUGCCCAGUCGAGGGGGAUAACAGUUGGAAACGACUGCUAAUACCGCAUACGCCCUACGGGGGAAAGCAGGGGACCUUCGGGCCUUGCGCGAUUGGAUAUGCCCAGGUGGGAUUAGCUAGUUGGUGAGGUAAUGGCUCACCAAGGCGACGAUCCCUAGCUGGUCUGAGAGGAUGAUCAGCCACACUGGAACUGAGACACGGUCCAGACUCCUACGGGAGGCAGCAGUGGGGAAUAUUGCACAAUGGGGGAAACCCUAAUGCAGCCAUGCCGCGUGUGUGAAGAAGGCCUUCGGGUUGUAAAGCACUUUCAGCGAGGAGGAAAGGUUGAUGCCUAAUACGUAUCAACUGUGACGUUACUCGCAGAAGAAGCACCGGCUAACUCCGUGCCAGCCGCCGCCGUAAGAC
rnacentral:rRNA from 1 species